rnacentral:rRNA from 1 species
GACGAACGCUGGCGGCGUGCUUAACACAUGCAAGUCGAACGGAAAGGCCCUGCUUUUGUGGGGUGCUCGAGUGGCGAACGGGUGAGUAACACGUGAGUAACCUGCCCUUGACUUUGGGAUAACUUCAGGAAACUGGGGGUAAUACCGGAUAGGAGCUCCGGCUGCAUGGUGGGGGUUGGAAAGUUUCGGCGGUUGGGGAUGGACUCGCGGCUUAUCAGCUUGUUGGUGGGGUAGUGGCUUACCAAGGCUUUGACGGGUAGCCGGCCUGAGAGGGUGACCGGCCACAUUGGGACUGAGAUACGGCCCAGACUCCUACGGGAGGCAGCAGUGGGGAAUAUUGCACAAUGGGCGGAAGCCUGAUGCAGCAACGCCGCGUGCGGGAUGACGGCCUUCGGGUUGUAAACCGCUUUCGCCUGUGACGAAGCGUGAGUGACGGUAAUGGGUAAAGAAGCACCGGCUAACUACGUG